GUCUAAGGCCAUACCACCCUGAAUGUGCCUGAUCUCAUCUGAUCUCAGAAGCUAAGCAGGGUUGGGCCUGGUUAGUACUUGGAUGGGAGACAUUUAUUUAUUUAUUUUUAUUUUUUGGUGUUUUUAUUU
rnacentral:rRNA from 1 species